UCCUAUCACUGUCCACCCUCACAAACAGCCGUUCCCCCUCCUGUUUAUACGCUCCCUUCAAGUACUGGAAGGCCACCAUGAGGUCUCCCCGGAGCUUUCUCUUCUCCGAGCUCUGUUCCAUCUGUGCACCCUCUGGCUUGGUGUGUUGACCACUGUAAGACCCGGCUCACUGGGUGGACAAACAAACUUCUUUCACUUUCCAGUACUUUUUCUUGCAGCCACGAGCUGGCAGCUCCUGCACUGAACCACAGCACCAGCAGGGCGGGCGGGUGCUGCUCUGCGGACCCGAGCUGUGCUCAGAUUUAUGGUCUGCCACAGCUCUAUGUGGGCUGCACGUGACCAGCUCCAAAAUCCCAGGACCUCUGCUCUCACCCAUCGGCCCAGCUCCUGAGGCUGUUUAGAACAGGGGUAAAAGCCCAAUGAAAGGGGUUUGCAGGAGAGAUCGUAGCGUGCAAGCAGGGCAGGGAGCAAUAGGUCGCGCUCAGCCAUGGCUUGUAACUUUUAUAGUCUUUCCAGAGCCAGAUGCUUGACAUUAGUGACACUGUUGAGGCUCUUGUUUUUGAAGACCCGGAUUGCUUUGGGAACGGCGGCGGCGCUGACAGAUCUGCAGCAUUUCCCCGCGGGCCGCACGGCGCGGCUGGAUGCAGAUUUUUCCACGAUUCAGAGAAAUCCACUUAAAAAAAGCAGCUGGGCACGUGAGACCCGUGCUGAGACGUCUGCUUCCCUUCCCAGCGCCAGCAGCUCAACGGCCGCACGGGAAACCCGUUGGUGACUGAAGGCCGCUCAUCACGUGGGUGCCGAAGCGCAUCCGCACCGCGUGCCCAACCGGGACGGCUCUCACCAUCGGGUUUUCCCACCUGAGGAAAAGCCGUUUAUCUCCAUUUGGGAUACAAAGAGAGGCAGUGGAGAAGUUGGAUUAUCGCACACAUCAUCUGGAUGCUCCUAAGGGACCCCCCGCAGGACCCACUGCCAGCCCCAGCACACACCCCUUCCCCAAUUUCCGCCAGCUGUGGCUGCAGGAGGGUGGAUCCAGGCAUGGAGCUGAGCAUCCCUCCCACAUUCCUCCCCUAUGCGUCAGCUCCAGGAGCCGUGGCCAGGUGUGGGCUGGGACAGAGAACCUGGAAGUCCCCGAGCAGCCAACGUGCAGCGGGAAGUGGGGGAGGCUUCACCCACUACCCAAAAUCCAAAAUGUGAAAUACAGACAUAACGGGAUAGCAUUAUAUUGUAUAUAUUGUCGUGUAUAUUUAUCAGUAAAUUAUACGUAUAUACCACACGUAGAUUACAGGUGGGCCCCUGGGCAGCUUGAGCUGGUGGGGCAGCCAGCCCAUGGAGGGGUUGGGCUGGGGGCUCUGUGCUCCCUUCCAACCCAACCGUGCUGCCAUCCUAUGGCAUCCUCACAACCCUGCCCAGAAGUGUUCCACAACGAGCCAGAAACCAGGAGAAAAGGAGCAAAUAAGGGGGACAGAGAUAAGAAAGCCUUAAGGGAAGGCCACGGAUAACAACAUGACACUUGGGUGCGUCGCACUGCAGCAGAACAGAUGCUGAUUGAGUUGACGAAGGUUGAAUUAAUUUGGGUAUUCUAAUGGCUCCUGCUUGACGCUAAUAAAAGCGACGUUUUGUGCAGGC